rnacentral:misc_RNA from 1 species
AGUUACUGAUAGCAGUAGCCCUUCGGUGGUUAAUCUCACCUACCUAUUGUGCUACAGUACCUCUUGAAUAAGUUCCACUCAUACUUAACCUGCCUCAGGAACUCUCAUUAAACAUCUUUGUAUUUACAGUAUUGAAAGUCUCUGAUACUAUUAAAAGUUAAUCA